rnacentral:rRNA from 1 species
GCUAAACGCGAAGAACCUUACCCACCUUUGACAUGGCAGGAACUUACCAGAGAUGGUUUGGUGCUCGAAAGAGAACCUGCACACAGGUGCUGCAUGGCUGUCGUCAGCUCGUGUCGUGAGAUGUUGGGUUAAGUCCCGCAACGAGCGCAACCCUUGCCAUUAGUUGCUACAUUCAGUUGAGCACUCUAAUGGGACUGCCGGUGACAAACCGGAGGAAGGUGGGGAUGACGUCAAGUCCUCAUGGCCCUUAUAGGUGGGGCUACACACGUCAUACAAUGGCUGGUACAAAGGGUUGCCAACCCGCGAGGGGGAGCUAAUCCCAUAAAGCCAGUCGUAGUCCGGAUCGCAGUCUGCAACUCGACUGCGUGAAGUCGGAAUCGCUAGUAAUCGUGGAUCAGAAUGUCACGGUGAAUACGUUCCCGGGUCUUGUACACACCG